rnacentral:rRNA from 1 species
CCUACGGGGGGCAGCAGUGAGGAAUAUUGGUCAAUGGGCGCGAGCCUGAACCAGCCAAGUAGCGUGAAGGAUGACUGCCCUACGGGUUGUAAACUUCUUUUAUAAAGGAAUAAAGUGAGGCACGUGUGCCUUUUUGUAUGUACUUUAUGAAUAAGGAUCGGCUAACUCCGUGCCAGCAGCCGCGGUAAUACGGAGGAUCCGAGCGUUAUCCGGAUUUAUUGGGUUUACAGGGCGUGUAGCCGGGCUGACAAGUCAGAUGUGAAAUUCCGGGGCUCACCCCCGGACCUGCAUUUGAAACUGUUGGUCUUGAGUAUCGGAGAGGCAGGCGGAAUUCCUCGUGUAGCGGU